AACGAACGCUGGCGGCAUGCCUAACACAUGCAAGUCGAACGAGAUCUUCGGGUCUAGUGGCGCACGGGUGCGUAACGCGUGGGAAUCUGCCCUUUGGUUCGGAAUAACAGUUGGAGACGACUGCUAAUACCGGAUGAUGACGAAAGUCCAAAGAUUUAUCGCCAGAGGAUGAGCCCGCGUAGGAUUAGCGAGUUGAUGUGGGAAAGGCGCACCAAGGCGACGAUCCUUAGCUGGUCUGAGAGGAUGAUCAGCCACACUGGGACUGAGACACGGCCCAGACUACUACGGGAGGAAGCGGUGGGGAAUAUUGGACAAUGGGCGAAAGCCUGAUCCAGCAAUGCCGCGUGAGUGAUGAAGGCCUUAGGGUUGUAAAGCUCUUUUACCCGGGAUGAUAAUGACAGUACCGGGAGAAUAAGCUCCGGCUAACUCCGUGCCAGCCGCCGCCGUAA
rnacentral:rRNA from 1 species